rnacentral:rRNA from 1 species
AUUGAACGCUGGCGGCAGGCCUAACAUAUGCAAGUCGAACGAGUGGCGGACGGGUGAGUAAUGUCUGGGAACCUGCCUGAUGGAGGGGGAUAACUACUGGAAACGGUAGCUAAUACCGCAUACCAUCGGAUGUGCCCAGAUGGGGUUAGCUAGUAGGUGGGGUAAAGGCUCACCUAGGCGACGCUCCCUAGCUGGUCUGAGAGGAUGACCAGCGACACUGGAACUGAUACACGGGCCAGAGUCCUACGGUAGGCAGCAGUGGGGAAUAUUGCACAAUGGGGGCAAGCCUUAUGCAGCCAUGCCGCGUGUAUGAAGAAGGCCUUCGGGUUGUAAAGUACUUUCAGCGGUGAGGCGGUACCCGCAGAAGAAGCACCGGCUAACUCCGUGCCAGCCGCCGCGGUAAUAC